UACGUAGGUGGCAAGCGUUGUCCGGAUUUACUGGGCGUAAAGGAUGCGUAGGCGGACAUUUAAGUCAGAUGUGAAAUACCCGAGCUUAACUUGGGUGCUGCAUUUGAAACUGGGUGUCUAGAGUGCAGGAGAGGUAAGUGGAAUUCCUAGUGUAGCGGUGAAAUACGUAGAGAUUAGGAAGAACACCAGUGGCGAAGGCGACUUACUGGACUGUAACUGACGCUGAGGCAUGAAAGCGUGGGGAGCAAACAGG
rnacentral:rRNA from 1 species